rnacentral:lncRNA from 12 species
AAAAAAGAGACUCUGGAAAAUUAAGAACAGAGUCUGAGGUGAUAUAGAGCUGCAGAUCUAGGAUUCCAAGGCUGACCCUCCAGUUGCUCUCAGGAGCCCAUCCUCUGCCCAUCCUGCAUGGCUGAGCUGUCCGGCUUAAUAAUGAUGAAUCCAGUGUAAACCUUCUGCCUUUUUUCUCACUGCUUCAUGGAUUUGCCAUUUCCAUAUACUCUUAAAGACAGGUUUCUGCUCCUUGCAGAUAUUUUUCUGUACUAGCACGGAAAAAUUUCUAUUAGCCACAAUAAGCACAGUGGUAGGCAGGAAACAAGGAUACAAUAAAUUUCUGUUGAUUGGAGUUAAGGAAAUAGCACUGUUCUCUGCUUUCUUUUGUUUUAUAUGCAGGAAAUGUCACUGUCCCAAUCUCUAGCUCAAUAGUGUAUACUCAGAAACACAAAGUAAAAUUUUAAAAUUACCCUAUUAGUGUGGGUCAGUUUCUCUAGAACAGUCUCUUUUUUGCUGCAUUAAUAACUUGCUAGUGUUUUAGAAGACACAGAGGUGCUAAUGAGGCACUAAUCACCCCCCACACACCCUUUUAAGCAACUAAUUAUGACUAACAGCUAUGAAGCUAUAUCAGCUUUAAAACCUAAUUAAUGCAACCUAUGAAGAAAAAUGAUUAAUGAAUAUAGUCUGUACAUAACUUAAUAAGAAAAGGUCAUGGCGGCUAUCGAGAGUAAGAUGUUGAAAAUGUUGCAAAUUGCAGAAUGGUUUUAGCUCAAUCUGUUAUUUGAAAUAAAAAGAGAUGUCUUCAUAUCUCGUUUUCAGAGGCAAUCGGGAGAUUCAGCCAGCACUCCACUCCCAAGGCCAAGGGAAUCUUUGAAAAUGUAAGCAUUUCUCUCCUUGGAACAGUCAAGGAUUUCUUUCUCUCUGCAGGGAGCGACCCCCACGGAGGAGGUUGCAUCCAUGUUGAGUAUACAGAGGUGUUCCCACUGGGUGCCCCCAGCUCCUCCUGGACCCCCACUGCCCUGCAGGGCACCUUAUCUGUGGCUGGCAGUCCCAACAUGCUGAAGCUGUGCACUGGGUGGCUGCUGCUCAAAUGGAGAAUGUGUUGUUGAUUAC